rnacentral:rRNA from 1 species
UACGAAGGGGCUAGCGUUGCUCGGAAUCACUGGGCGUAAAGGGUGCGUAGGCGGGUCUUUAAGUCAGGGGUGAAAUCCUGGAGCUCAACUCCAGAACUGCCUUGAUACUGAAGAUCUUGAGUUCGGGAGAGGUGAGUGGAACUGCGAGUGUAGAGGUGAAAUUCGUAGAUAUUCGCAAGAACACCAGUGGCGAAGGCGGCUCACUGGCCCGAUACUGACGCUGAGGCACGAAAGCGUGGGGAGCAAACAGGGAUUAAGAAACCCCG